CGUGUAGGCGGGUCGGUGCGUCGGCCGCUGAAAUCCCCCGGCUCAACCGGGGAAGGGGCGCCGAUACGACCGGCCUGGAGCGACGUAGGGGGAACUGGAACUUCCGGUGGAGCGGUGAAAUGCGUUGAGAUCGGAAGGAACGCCCGUGGCGAAAGCGAGUUCCUGGACGUCGGCUGACACUGAGACGCGAAAGCCAGGGGAGCGAACG
rnacentral:rRNA from 1 species